GCGCGGGCAGAGGCGGCGCGAGGGCGGUGCGGAGGGGCUGCGCCGUGCUGCGCGCCCAGCGACACUCGCCGCUUCCCGCGGGGCUGGAGAUGCUGGCGCGCGCGGCGGCGGCGGCGGCGGCGGCGGCGGGGGGGGCGCGGGUCGCCCCGGCCGCGGAGACCUUCGCCGACGACGUGCUGCGCGUGUUCGGGGCCAACCACAGCCUGUCGGCCGGGCAGCUCGCCGGGCUGCUGCACCGGCUGGGCGCCGCGCCGGCCCUGGGCGCGGUGCUGCCGCUGGCCCACCUGCACCACAACCAGUGCUUGACCGGUGAGGAAAUUUUUUCUUUGCAUGGGAUACCCAACAACAGUCACAUAUCAAAUUCAAGCUUCUCUACAAUAUGUCCUGCUGUUUUGCAACAGCUAAUUUUUCACCCGUGUGAUCAUCGGGAGAACUUUGUGGAUACGUCUAAACCACAUUCUUUACAAGUUUGGGGAUUUGGGUUCCUGGCUGUGACUAUCAUUAACUUGGCAUCACUUCUGGGACUGAUUUUAACUCCUCUCUUAAGGAAGUCGUAUUUCCCCAAGGUUUUAACCUACUUUGUGGGCUUGGCCAUUGGUACUCUCUUUUCUAAUGCAAUUUUCCAGCUCAUUCCAGAGGCAUUUGGGUUUGACCCAAAAGUAGACAACUAUAUUGAGAAAGCAGUUGCUGUGUUUGGUGGAUUCUAUAUUCUCUUCUUUGUGGAAAGGAUUCUUAAAGUGAUAUUGAAGAUCUAUAACCAGACUGGCCAUAUUGACUCUGAAAAUGGCGAGCAGAAUUGUUCUCUGGAUAAGACUAACCCACCCAAACCACUAUCAUCCAGCAAUGGAGGGACGUGUUAUGCAAAUUCAGCUGUCAUAGAGAGCAAUGGAAAUCUUGGUUUUGACAGCAUCAGUGUGGUCUCAGCACAGGAAGAAGCCACCCAAGGCAGCUUAUGCAAGUGUCUUAAUGGGCGCCCACUGGCAAAGAUUGGGACCAUUGCUUGGAUGGUAACACUGAGUGAUGCCGUACACAAUUUCAUAGAUGGUUUGGCUAUUGGUGCUUCUUUCACUUUGUCUCUGCUUCAAGGGCUUAGUACCUCCAUAGCCAUCUUGUGUGAAGAGUUUCCUCAUGAACUGGGGGAUUUUGUCAUCUUGCUUAAUGCAGGAAUGAGUACUCGGCAGGCUCUGUUUUUCAACUUUAUGUCUGCAUGUUCCUGUUACGUUGGGAUGGCUUUUGGUAUAUUAGUAGGCAACAACUUUGCUCCUAACAUCAUCUUUGCUGUAGCCGGUGGAAUGUUCCUGUACAUCUCUCUGGCAGAUAUGUCUCUUUCUCUCUCUCUCUAGGUUUUUGGAUUGUAUCAGUUACCUAUCUGAAUUUUUCUUCCCCCUGAAAAGUCUGAAAUAGGGUAUUCAACUGCUCUGUACAGAGAUCUGGCUUUCUGCUUUCUGUUAUGAUUUUCACACACUUCUGGUUUGCUUGUCCAGAAGCAGUUCCCAGAGAUGAAUGAUAUGCUGCGAGAGAAAGUGACAGGAAGAAAGAUGGAUCUCACAUUCUUCCUUAUUCAGAAUGCUGGUUUACUAACAGGGUUUACUGCUAUACUGUUGAUUACCUUGUAUGCAGGAAAUAUUCAGCUGUGAUAAUGCAAGUGAAAAUGCAAUCAGUACUGAAGACAUCAAGUAAAUUACAAAUGGAAGACACUUGAAAUCCAUGAAGGGACAUUCAUUUAAUCUACUUGGUUUUGAAACGGUGACAAGUCCCGUCCUGUCCCCCAUGCUCCAAAUAUAGGAAAUUCUUCUUUAGGACUUGCAGUCAAUCCAAAUAGUAGGAGCUGUCAGCUUCUGUACUAUGCCAAAGAACCGAUAUUAGUAUUUUUAUUUCUACUUAAAAUUAUGAGACAUACCUGAACUGUCAGAGAAAGGAUGUUACUUGGCCAGUAGAAUUAUGCAAUACAUGCAACUACAUGCAACUCAAGACCAAAUGAAAGCUGAGGUCUUCAAGGAAGAUGCUUAUUUAAAAAAAAAAAUACUGGAGUCUCAUAUCCUUUUUUAACUGUGAUGAAGGCAAGCAGUUUCAAAACUGGUUAAUUUUCAUGAUUUUUGUUUCAGGAUUUGUCUGUGUAACACCCCCCUCCCCCACCAAAAAAAAAAAAAAAUCAAAUUAUUUCAGAGUAGGUACUAAUGAAGCUAAGAUUUUUAAUUACUAAUUAACACUGGAAGGAAAGAUACCAGUUACUGCUUUUGAUCUUUUUUUCUUUAUAAGUGCACUAGGGAAUUGUUGAUUUAUUUUGAGAACCACUUUUUUUAAUUAGAGGGAACCUGUGUUAAAUUUGUGACAAUUUGUCAACUCCAUAAUAUUUUAGAAGCAUUGAGUAUUUUAAAAAUGUUCAAGCAUUUUGUACUUUAUGAAAAUAAAAAUGUUUUAUAUUUAAGUUCCACAAAUAUCCCUUUUAAAAAUCAGUAUUUUGGGUUAAAAUUUUUAAAGAUUUAUUUUUAGUUUUACAAAGUGGAAUUUAGAAAAAACUUGCUAAAGUCAACAUUCCAGUAAGCUUUUUUGUAAUUUGAAUAAUUUUCUUGUGUGCAGUUGGGUGAAAGUAAGGGAUACUAAAAUAUACAAACUCUUAUCACAGUCUGUUGCAUGUGAACUUUCUAAAAUCAUGCUUAUAUGUAUGAGUUCUUCUGAAAUAAACAAUUCAGCUACUCUGGUGUUGUAAGAUGUGUGCAAGGAAAUUAAUAAAAAAUAUAUUCCAUUUCAGUCA